UACAUAGGUGGCGAACGUUGUCCGGAAUUAUUGGGCGUAAAGAGUGCGUAGGCGGGUCUUUAAGUCAGGGGUGAAAUCCUGGAGCUCAACUCCAGAACUGCCUUUGAUACUGAAGAUCUUGAGUUCGGGAGAGGUGAGUGGAACUGCGAGUGUAGAGGUGAAAUUCGUAGAUAUUCGCAAGAACACCAGUGGCGAAGGCGGCUCACUGGCCCGAUACUGACGCUGAGGCACGAAAGCGUGGGGAGCAAACAGG
rnacentral:rRNA from 1 species